rnacentral:rRNA from 1 species
AUACGAAGGGAGCUAGCGUUGUUCGGAAUUACUGGGCGUAAAGGGCGCGUAGGCGGGUGCUCGAGUCAGGGGUGAAAUGCCAAGGCUCAACCUUGGAACUGCCUUUGAUACUGGGCGCCUGGAGAUCGGGAGAGGUGAGUGGAAUUCCGAGUGUAGAGGUGAAAUUCGUAGAUAUUCGGAGGAACACCAGAAGCGAAGGCGGCUCACUGGCCCGAGACUGACGCUGAGGCGCGAAAGCGUGGGGAGCAAACAG